rnacentral:rRNA from 1 species
AUCUAGCUUCAGGUUGGGGACAACCACUGGAAACGGUGGCUAAUACCGAAUAAGCCGUAAUAGGUGAAAGAUUAAUUGCCUGGAGAUGAGCUCGCGUCUGAUUAGCUAGUUGGUAGGGUAAAAGCCUACCAAGGCGUCGAUCAGUAGCUGGUCUGAGAGGACGAUCAGCCACACUGGGACUGAGACACGGCCCAGACUCCUACGGGAGGCAGCAGUGGGGAAUUUUCCGCAAUGGGCGAAAGCCUGACGGGGCAAUACCGCGUGAGGGAGGAAGGCUCUUGGGUCGUAAACCUCCUUUCUCAGGGAAGAACAAAAUGACGGUACCUGAGGAAUAAGCAUCGGCUAACUCCGUGCCAGCAGCCGCGGUAAUACGGAGGAUGCAAGCGUUAUCCGGAAUGAUUGGGCGUAAAGCGUCCGCAGGUGGCAAUGUAAGUCUGCUGUCAAAGGUCAGGGCUUAACUCUGAACAGGCAGUGGAAACUACACAGCUAGAGUGCGGUGGGGGCAGAGGGAAUUCCCAGUGUAGCGGUGAAAUGCGUAGAGAUUGGGAAGAACACCGGUGGCGAAAGCGCUCUGCUAGGCCGUAACUGACACUCAUGGACGAAAGCUAGGGGAGCGAAUGGGAUUAGAUACCCCAGUAGUCCUAGCCGUAAACGAUGGAUACUAGGCGUAGCUCGUAUCGACC